rnacentral:misc_RNA from 1 species
CUUAAAUUUAGGCUUUAUGCCCCCAAACCGUGAGUUGUGAACGUAGGGAAGGGAGCGAGGCGGGGGGAGAAACGAGGCAAAAAGCCCAGGAUGGCUCCGUUUGCGAUGGUGGAAAGGAUGGCGCACCGGACUCCCUGAAUUCACCAAAACCUCCCCAGUUCACGAGGGGCGCGGUGGCGCGUUUUGGGGGGAAUUCCGGCAUUUUUGGAGGUUGGGACGCGCGGGAGGAGCUGGGCGCGCUGGGACCCCGCUUCUGUCCGAAAUUGCCCCAAAAACACCCCCCUCCCCCCCCCCAGUUCCGACGCGAGGGAUGCGAAAAGGGGCCGAUUGUGGACAAUGUAGCAAAAAGGAGUGCUUUCACCCCAAAUGGGGGCUGACGCAGGGGGUCUGUCUCGCAGG